rnacentral:rRNA from 1 species
GUGUGCAGUGGAUACGGGCAGGCUAGAGUGUGGUAGGGGAGACUGGAAUUCCUGGUGUAGCGGUGAAAUGCGCAGAUAUCAGGAGGAACACCGGUGGCGAAGGCGGGUCUCUGGGCCUUACCUGACGCUGAGGAGCGAAAGCGUGGGGAGCGAACAGGAUUAGAUACCCUGGUAGUCCACGCCGUAAACGUUGGGCGCUAGGUGUGGGGACUUUCCACGGUUUCCGUGCCGUAGCUAACGCAUUAAGCGCCCCGCCUGGGGAGUACGGCCGCAAGGCUAAAACCCAAAGGAAUUGACGGGGGCCCGCACAAGCGGCGGAGCAUGUUGCUUAAUUCGACGCAACGCGAAGAACCUUACCAAGGCUUGACAUCACCGGUAAUCCUCCAGAGAUGGGGGGUCCUUCGGGGAUCGGUGACAGGUGGUGCAUGGCUGUCGUCAGCUCGUGUCGUGAGAUGUUGGGUUAAGUCCCGCAACGAGCGCAACCCUUGUUCCAUGUUGCC